CUGCCAUCCUUUUUGAACGCGGAUGUUCAUUCUGUGAUAAAGUUGCCUCUUGAUGUAACGAGUUUUCUUUCCUUUUCUUUUUUCUGACAGCGUUGGAAUCUGUGUGAGUUCAUCUUUAGAUUUGGUUUGGCUAACCUAACCUAACCCAACCCAACCUAGCCUGAACUGCCACGAGAAAUCGCGAACGCGCUAUGGGCCUGUAGCUCUCGGCCAGGCGGCGUUGCGAUCAGCGGACGACAGCGCCGCAUGUGGAAGCAAAUCGAAACAAUGGUCCGCACAAGAGUGUUUCGGUUUCGCGGGUUUCGCUCUGGCGCAAGCAAGCAAUGUAUCGCAUCCUGCGUGGGUUUGAAAAGCUGGAGGUCAUUGACGAUUGGGCAAGUUACUAGUCAAUGUUUUCGGCGUCGACGAAGCAUCGGACGGUAACGAAAUCGUCGUUAAUGCAUUUCGGAAGAAGUGAAGGACAGCGUGGUUUAUAGCGUCCGGUUCGAGGUGUCCAAGUGCUCGUGACAGUUUAUGUUGCGUCGUGUACCUGUAAAGCGGGAAUUGCGGGAAAAUGUAAGCACGCGGCAGCAGUCUGCUGCUACCUGAACAAGGAAGAAGACGCCACAUCUACGGGCAACAACAAAAGAGGGGCAAGCCAAGCUCAAAGCCGCAGGCGUGACAUGACAAAGGGUAUCGCCGACUUAUUUCCGAAGCUGAUGAGGCUACAGUCAUCUCUGCUGCAUCGUUGAUCAUUUGCCAAUGAUCUUUCUCUACUGAAUGCUGCUGCUGUACCCUGCUGCAUCGUUGAUCGUUGGCUACCCUGUUAUUCUUCAGCAUUUUAUAUGU